UCGCGCAAAACUUUGCAAUACACGAAAGUGUGACAGGGCUAUCCCGAGUGCCGUCCGCUGAGGAUGGCUUUUUAACCAGUCUAGAAAGCUGGUAGAAUAAGGAGAGGGCAAGUCUGGUGUCAGCCGCCGCGGUAAUACCAGCUCUCCGAGUGGUGUGGAUGUUUAUUGGGCCUAAAGGCAUCCGUAGCUGGCCAAGCAAGUCCCUUGUUAAACCCACCGAAUUAAUCGUUGGCGUGCGGGGGAUACUGCUCGGCUAGGGGACGAGAGAGGCAGACGGUAUUCUCGGGGUAGGGGUGAAAUCCUAUAAUCCCGAGAAGACCACCAGUGGCGAAGGCUGUCUGCUAGAACGCGCCCGACGGUGAGGGAUGAAAGCUGGGGGAGCGAACCGGAUUAGAUACCCGGGUAGUCCCAGCUGUAAACGAUGCAGGCUAGGUGUUUGGACGGCCAGUGCCGUUCUAGUGCCGCAGGGAAGCUGUUAAGCCUGCCCGCCGUGGGGGAGUACCGGGUCGCAAGAUUGAAACUUAAAGGAAUU
rnacentral:rRNA from 1 species